rnacentral:misc_RNA from 1 species
GAUGAAGAACGCAGCGAAAUGCGAUAAGUAAUGUGAAUUGCAGAAUUCCGUGAAUCAUCGAAUCUUUGAACGCAUAUUGCGCCCUCUGGUAUUCCGGGGGGCAUGCCUGUCCGAGCGUCAUUUCAAAUCCUCAAGCCCGGCUUGUGUUGGGGACCUGCGGCUGCCGCAGGCCCUGAAAACCAGUGGCGGGCUCGCUAGUCACUCCGAGCGUAGUAAUACAUCUCGCUCAGGGCGUGCUGCGGGUUCCGGCCGUUAAAAAGCCUUAUUUACCCAAGGUUGACCUCGGAUCAGGUAGGAAGACCCGCUGAACUUAAGCAUAUCAAUAAGCGGAGGA